ACACACAGCCGUAUCUCCCUGAAGUUCUUGCCUGGUUUGAAUGUAACAGUGAAUGUAAGCAGUAUUGAGACUGCCCAGCACCUGGAUGGGAGACCUCCUGGGGAAAACUAAGGUUGCUGUUGGAA
rnacentral:rRNA from 1 species